rnacentral:lncRNA from 1 species
AGGAUGCGAGGCUUCCAUUAGGCAUGUAAUCAUAGACAAGAAGCUUCUCGCCUUUGGGGCCGAGAUAGUAAGCUCUCAACGCCAAGAUAUUUGGAUGCCUAAUCUUUCCAAGAUUGGAAACUUCCAACUCGAAUUCCUUUUGAGGUUUGGUGAUUUUCUCUCUCAAUCUCUUCACCGCAACUUGAUUGUUGUCUUCGAGCGUGGCUUUGUAGGCCGUUCCAUAACUGCUCUUUCCCAUAAUCUCUGCAGUAGCACACAACAAAUCGUCAGCUGUAAAAACAAAAGGGCCAUCAAAAUGGACUAAUUUCCCUCCGGCGUCGCCGCCAGUUUCGACUUCUGCAGCCGUGACGGGGCCCGCCUUGGCGGCAGCUCUGCUGGUUGAAGGCGGAGC